rnacentral:lncRNA from 10 species
AUGGCUGGCAGGCUGGCUACCGCAGCAUCAGACAGGUAGCUGGAUGGUAUUUGAAAAUGGUAUGACAAUGCUGCAGGAUUCGAGAAACUAAAGUAAAUGUGAGAUGAGACAAUAUAUGAAGAUGAAGAUGUAAAGGAAGCCAUAAGACGGCUUUCUAACGGCAGGAUGUUUCGCAUUAGAACACUGGACCUAUGAGACAGCAGAUCUUGCCUUAACAGCAGCGGACCAAACAUGAAGAGGAUAAAUUCUACCAUGAGCCAUAUCUGAAAGCGCUUAUUUGGGAAAGAAAAGAAUGAGAAUGGUCAAAGAAGU